rnacentral:tRNA from 1 species
GCCUUCGUGGUGUAGUAGUCAGCACGCUCGGCCCGUAUUCGAGAGAUCAGUAGUUCGAAUCUCAGGGAGGGCA